CACCACUGCAGUAUUGAGAAAAUCACUGAUGAGUGAGUAGACAUCCAAGUGAUUUCUCAUAUUGGUCAUGCUCAGUGUAAGUUAUUCUCAAACAACCACCUGCACUCUCACCCCAGUGUCUCUACACCACAGACUCGAAACUCAUCUACCCUAAAGGGAGGUGAUCCGUGCACUGAUCUCGAAUAGAUUGAUCACUUUCCUCCAUGAUGAUCCAUC
rnacentral:lncRNA from 1 species